rnacentral:rRNA from 1 species
CCCUAUGGGGUGCAGCAGGGGCAAAACGGCCAGAAGACGGCCCGCAGAAGAAAGUGUGUGUGACAUGCGAAUCAUGAUUUCUUCAUUGCGUCUUGGAUGAUUUGUUCAUUCAGGGUGUCAAACUCGCCAUUGGCGCGAUGCACAUACACCCAAGUGAGGAUGCAGAAAAAUACGAACUGGAAAAAUCCCAGUACUACGCCCACCGUCAAAUUACUGCCCUCAAAAAUACGUACAGCAAUGGCACUGGGCACAAAAGCUACCAGCAAGACAAAACUGAAAAAUACACUGAUCACCAUCAGUGCCAGCGUGGCAGCAAAGCGCCCGCGCUGGCGCACCAGCUCUGCAUAGCGCGGGUCGCGCUUGAUGUUUUCAUACAGUGGAUUGGACAUGGGCCUCCUUAAAUACUCAUUGAAUACACGUCGUGUGAAUUGGCGGGAGAGC